rnacentral:tRNA from 2 species
GCCCGGGUGGCGAAAUUGGUAGACGCGCUAGAUUCAGGUUCUAGUGCCGGUUACGGCAUGCAGGUUCGAUUCCUGUCUCGGGCACCA